GGAUGGCACAGGCUGCUGACACCCGCUGCUGUGCCCACCAGCCUCCCUCCACCUGGGGGGUCAGGAGAAGACAGGGCCCUCCAGCCAUUCCCCACCCACAUCUCCCCCACAAGGCCCCUCCCACCUUCAGGGCUCACUGCUGGCCCCCCAUUCCUGUGCCCAGGGGUCCUACGGGGCCCCGUCUGUCACCGCCCGCGGGGAUUCCCUGAGUGAGAGCCCAGCUGGAG